rnacentral:rRNA from 1 species
UACAGAGGUCUCAAGCGUUGUUCGGAUUCAUUGGGCGUAAAGGGUGCGUAGGCGGCGCGGUAAGUCGGGUGUGAAAUCUCGGAGCUUAACUCCGAAACUGCAUUCGAUACUGCCGUGCUUGAGGACUGGAGAGGAGACUGGAAUUUACGGUGUAGCGGUGAAAUGCGCAGAUAUCAGGAGGAACACCGGUGGCGAAGGCGGGUCUCUGGGCCGAAACUGACGCUGAGGCGCGAAAGCCAGGGGAGCGAACGGG